AUUGAACGCUGGCGGCAUGCUUUACACAUGCAAGUCGAACGGUAACAGGCCGCCAGGUGCUGACGAGUGGCGAACGGGUGAGUAAUGCAUCGGAACGUGCCCAGUCGUGGGGGUAACGCAGAGAAAGCUGUUGUAAUACCGCAUACGAUCUUUGGAUGAAAGCGGGGGACCGAAAGGCCCCGCGCGCUUGGAGCCGGCGAUGUCAGAUUAGGUAGUUGGUGGGGUAAAGGCUCACCAAGCCAACGAUCUGUAGCUGGUCUGAGAGGACGACCAGCCGCACUGGGACUGAGACACGGCCCAGACUCCUACGGGAGGCAGCAGUGGGGAAUUUUGGACAAUGGGCGCAAGCCUGAUCCAGCAAUGCCGCGUGCAGGAAGAAGGCCUUCGGGUUGUAAACUGCUUUUGUACGGAGCGAAAAGGCUCUCUCUAAUACAGGGGGCUCAUGACGGUACCGUAAGAAUAAGCACCGGCUAACUACGUGCCAGCCGCCGCGGUAACAC
rnacentral:rRNA from 1 species